UACGAAGGGGGCUAGCGUUGCUCGGAAUCACUGGGCGUAAAGCGCACGUAGGCGGAUUGCUAAGUCAGGGGUGAAAUCCUGGGAGCUCAACUCCAGAACUGCCUUUGAUACUGGCGACCUUGAGUCCGGGGAGAGGUGAGUGGAACUGCGAGUGUAGAGGUGAAAUUCGUAGAUAUUCGCAAGAACACCAGUGGCGAAGGCGGCUCACUGGCCCGGUACUGACGCUGAGGCACGAAAGCGUGGGGAGCAAACAGG
rnacentral:rRNA from 1 species